rnacentral:rRNA from 1 species
UACGGAAGGCAGCAGUGGGGAAUAUUGCACAAUGGGCGAAAGCCUGAUGCAGCUAUGCCGCGUGUAUGAAGAAGGCCUUAGGGUUGUAAAGUACUUUCAUCGGGGAGGAAAAAACAAAACUAAUAAUUUUAUUUCUUGACGUUACCCGAAAAAGAAGCACCGGCUAACUCCGUGCCAGCAGCCGCGGUAAUACGGAGGGUGCUAGCGUUAAUCAGAAUUACUGGGCGUAAAGAGCACGUAGGUGGUUUUUUUAAGUCAGAUGUGAAAUCCCUGGGCUUAACCUGGAACUGCAUUUUGAAACUGAAAUACUAGAGUAUCGUAGAGGGAGGUAGAAUUCUAGGUGUAGCGGUGAAAUGCGUAGAUAUCUGGAGGAAUACCUGUGGCGAAAGCGGCCUCCUAAACGAAUACUGACACUGAGGUGCGAAAGCGUUGGGGAGCAAACAGGGAUUUAGAUACC